AGUUAAUCUUAAUUCUAUCCAUGUAAAACAAGAAAAUUUGUGGUGACAUGUUAAUCAUUAAAAUGGUUAUCUAAAAAGACGUGCUAGAUAUUUUCCGUGAACGGGACGCUCUAUUGGCUCACAGGAGAACAUAACGGCAAAACCAAGGUAAUAGCUUUUGGGUGUGGUUCGGCCAGUGUGAUAUGCAAGACCAACAAGAUCCUCAUUUCGCAUCGUUAUUCCGAGGGUCUAAUGGAGUAUGAUCCCCAAACAAAAUCUUUCGUUUCACGAAUUUUUCUCUAUGAAAGAGUUGCUUCUUAUUUCCAAAGUUUGAUAUCUCAUGUCUAUGAAAGAGUAUGAUCCCCCAAAUAAAAAAUUUGCUUUUUCACUCAUCUCGAGAAUCAUACAAUUUGUUAUAAAGAAAAAAAAAACAGAAACACAUUCAAAUUCAUCCGUUUCAUAAAAAAUAUCGUUUUGGAGUCUUUUUCUUUCAAAAAGGAUGGCGUUUUACAUUUUCAAUGCAAUUUUAGUAAUAUCCAAAAUUGUUGAUUUUAUUUGCUUCUCUUUGGACCUCGCUCUCCACUACUUUUAGAUCCUCAGCUAUUCGCUUGAUCAUGUUCUCGUCGUAUUUCUAGCAGCGGCAAAGUACUUAUCUAUCAUUUUAUCAUCCCACCUAUUGUUGACAUUUUUCUUUAUUUUUUCUUGCAAACAGUUUUAUUUUACUAUAGAAAUGAGAUUAUGUAAAGAAGUGAAGAGGGAAGGAUGCGUUUAUAGAUGAAUCAACAUAAAGAGGGGAAAUCAACGUAAAGAGGGGAAUGGCAAUGGAAAAGCUUGAAGAACAUGUAAACUUCUUUUAGUUGAUUCAUUUUCCUAAAACUAAUUAACAUUAUGUGGUUUAAUGUCUCAAAUUCAAGUCUAUAUUAUGUAUAUAAUGAAAAAAAUGAUUAUGUUUUGCUUAUAUAUUGCUCAUGUUUUGCUAUCUUUUUUUUUACUUAUUUGAUCAAAUUGAAUUCCUUUAUUCUAAUUUUUAAU
rnacentral:sRNA from 1 species